rnacentral:rRNA from 1 species
AGCCUGAUGCAGCGACGCCGCGUGAGGGAUGACGGCCUUCGGGUUGUAAACCUCUUUCAGUAGGGAAGAAGGGAAAGUGACGGUACCUGCUGAAGAAGCGCCGGCUAACUACAUGACAGCAGCCGCGGUAAUACGUAGGGCGCAAGCGUUAUCCGGAAUUAUUGGGCGUAAAGAGCUCGUACGGGGUUUGUCGCGUCUGCCGUGAAAGUCCGGGGCUCAACUCCGGAUCUGCGGUGGGUACGGGCAGACUAGAGUGAUGUAGGGGAGACUGGAAUUCCUGGUGUAGCGGUGAAAUGCGCAGAUAUCAGGAGGAACACCGAUGGCGAAGGCAGGUCUCUGGGCAUUAACUGACGCUGAGGAGCGAAAGCAUGGGGAGCGAACAGGAUUAGAUACCCUGGUAGUCCAUGCCGUAAACGUUGGGCACUAGGUGUGGGGGACAUUCCACGUUUUCCGCGCCGUAUCUAACGCAUUAACUGCCCCGCCUGGGGAGUACGGCCGCAAGGCUAAAACUCAAAUGNAUUGACGGA